rnacentral:rRNA from 1 species
UACGUAGGGUGCAAGCGUUGUCCGGAAUUAUUGGGCGUAAAGAGCUCGUAGGCGGUCUGUCGCGUCGGCUGUGAAAACUCGGGGCUCAACUCCGAGCUUGCAGUCGAUACGGGCAGGCUAGAGUUCGGCAGGGGAGACUGGAAUUCCUGGUGUAGCGGUGAAAUGCGUAGAUAUCGGGAGGAACACCAGUGGCGAAGGCGGCCUUCUGGACCAGUACUGACGCUCAUGCACGAAAGCGUGGGGAGCAAACAGG